AAGUCGUAACAAGGUUUCCGUAGGUGAACCUGCGGAAGGAUCAUUAUUGAAUAAACAUGGUGGGUUGUAGCUGGCUUUUCGAAGCAUGUGCACGCCUGCCGUCUUUAUCCAUCCACCUGUGCACCCUCUGUAGUUUUGGGGAAAUAUGAUAGAGCAGCAGACUCUUGAUGGAGCUCUUUGGGUUCUAUCAGAUGUGAAGAAUGCAGAUCGCUUUCUUCAAAUUGCUGUGAUGUCUUCCCAGGUCUAUGUUUUUCCAUACACCACGUAGUAUGUUACAGAAUGUCCUUCAUGGGCCUUUAGUGCCUAUAAAACACAAUACAACUUUCAGCAACGGAUCUCUUGGCUCUCGCAUCGAUGAAGAACGCAGCGAAAUGCGAUAAGUAAUGUGAAUUGCAGAAUUCAGUGAAUCAUCGAAUCUUUGAACGCGCCUUGCGCUCCUUGGUAUUCCGAGGAGCAUGCCUGUUUGAGUGUCAUUAAAUUCUCAACUCCUUCAGUUUUUGUAACUGUUCGAGGUUGGAUUGUGGGGGUUCUUUGCGGGCCUUAGUCGAGGUCAGCUCCCCUGAAAUGCAUUAGCGGAACCGUUUGUGGUCCGUCAUCGGUGUGAUAAUUAUCUACGCCAAAGACGAAGGCUGCCCUCUGUCUGUUCAGCUUACAAUUGUCCUCUAAGGACAACUUCUUGACAUUUGACCUCAAAUCAGGUAGGACUACCCGCUGAACUUAA
rnacentral:rRNA from 1 species